GCUGGGCACGGUGGCCCUCGCCUGUAAUCCCAAAGGCUUGGGAGGCUGAGGCAGGAGGAUCACAAGUUUGAAGCCAACCUCAGCAACAGUGAGGCACUAAGCGACUUGGUGAGACCCUGUCUCUA
rnacentral:sRNA from 1 species